ACGAGGUUCGGGAGAAUGGCGGAGAUGCCCAUAUUUACACGUGUUCCUCUUUUUUUGAUUGGAGGGGGCUGCGUUGCUGAGGACGAGGGGUAGUCCUGUGCCAGCGAGCAAGAGAUUUCAUGAUUUGUUUUGAUCAAUUUGCCCAAAUUGGCCAUUUUUUUUCAGGAGGAGGAGGGGACCCAGAUAGACAGACAGACAGACACAGGCUGGAGCACCGCCAAAGCUUGUCGGGAAGGUUGCCAUGCCGAGAAUAAGGGAGCAGACAGAAGAGGAGAGGGAAAAAAAAGCCAGGCGAGACUUGGCAGGGUUCUACUGCAGUUCCCUUUGUCUGUUUGCUCAGCUUUUGCGCAAAGGAAAUCAGAAAUACCCAGGGUGUAGGAGCUCUGCUUCACCGCUAAAAAACAAAACCAAACAAGAAACCUGCUCUGAAAUCACAAAGGAAGCCAAGGGCGAAAAGGGCGCGAAAUACUCUAAACAGUGAGUCGUUUCUGAAGAUUCUGCAGGAACCAUGUUGUCCUUCUGUGUUUUUGUUGGAGCCAAGAGAUGAGCGCGCUAUCAGAACCCAAAAGUUUUUCUGUCUUUUUCAACGCUAGUAAAGAAACACCUGUCUUGUUUGUCUUGAAGGUUCUUUGAGGACAUUCGUCAGUGUGUUUCAGCUCUCAUUACUUGUCUGAUUAAUGCUAGAGGCGCUGUGGCUGAAGAAAUGGUAAAAAAGUUGGUCUUUCAGAUUUGUGGAUGUUCCACUUGUAGAGCUUGUGAAAUUGUCUACACUUUCAAAAGUUUUGGACUGGGAAGGGGGCGACCAGACCUGAAACAAGGGUGUCAAGGUGGUGAAAGGAUGCUUGUGGUCCAAAACAAGAACUUUGACCAUGAACUUCAUUAAAACUGUUUUUUCUUGUUUGAGAUGUGUCUCCAGGGGAACAGGAUCUCAGUCAAGCGGCUGGCGUAGGAGUCUGUCUCAGGGCUCUACAGGAAAGUACAUUACAAGCUGGAAGAGUCAAUAAUUACUGCAGUCCUUUUGGAAAUCCGUUUAUUCCUGUUCUCAUUUCACCGGCUGUGAUUCCUCAAACGACAGAUGCUUUUCCCUGUGUAACAGGACUCUGGCUGCAGUAUUCUGGACCAGCUGAAGCUUGUUGAGGCUUUUCCUGG